GUUAGACUAUGUGCACACGGUAACGUUUCCGAGCCUUUCUAAAACGUCGUUUCCAAUUUUGUCAGUUUGACGCUCUGUCCACACGGAAACGUUUUCACGAGAUGCAAAUGUUUGUCUCGAUAAAAAUUCCAUCUCUAGCGGCUUGUUAUCACCAUUCAUUUUCCACCAGAUAAAGUCAUUACUUGUCAACGAGUUUCUUAAAAUGUUCUCUGCUCAUUAUCAUAAAGUAAACAGUUUUAUAUGUACUGUUUAGCAUCACCGAUACGAAGUCUGUCGCUUCUUCGAAAGCAAACCGCAUUUUAAAUCGUUCAUAAAUCAUUAUACAUUUGAAAGGC